rnacentral:rRNA from 1 species
GACGAACGCUGGCGGCGUGCUUAACACAUGCAAGUCGAACGGAAAGGCCCUGCUUUUGUGGGGUGCUCGAGUGGCGAACGGGUGAGUAACACGUGAGUAACCUGCCCUUGACUUUGGGAUAACUUCAGGAAACUGGGGCUAAUACCGGAUAGGAGCUCCUGCUGCAUGGUGGGGGUUGGAAAGUUUCGGCGGUUGGGGAUGGACUCGCGGCUUAUCAGCUUGUUGGUGGGGUAGUGGCUUACCAAGGCUUUGACGGGUAGCCGGCCUGAGAGGGUGACCGGCCACAUUGGGACUGAGAUACGGCCCAGACUCCUACGGGAGGCAGCAGUGGGGAAUAUUGCACAAUGGGCGGAAGCCUGAUGCAGCAACGCCGCGUGCGGGAUGACGGCCUUCGGGUUGUAAACCGCUUUCGCCUGUGACGAAGCGUGAGUGACGGUAAUGGGUAAAGAAGCACCGGCUAACUACGUGCCAGCAGCCGCGGUGAUACGUAGGGUGCGAGCGUUGUCCGGAUUUAUUGGGCGUAAAGGGCUCGUAGGUGGUUGAUCGCGUCGGAAGUGUAAUCUUGGGGCUUAACCCUGAGCGUGCUUUCGAUACGGGUUGACUUGAGGAAGGUAGGGGAGAAUGGAAUUCCUGGUGGAGCGGUGGAAUGCGCAGAUAUCAGGAGGAACACCAGUGGCGAAGGCGGUUCUCUGGGCCUUUCCUGACGCUGAGGAGCGAAAGCGUGGGGAGCGAACAGGCUUAGAUACCCUGGUAGUCCACGCUGUAAACGGUGGGUACUAGGUGUGGGGUCCAUUCCACGGGUUCCGUGCCGUAGCUAACGCUUUAAGUACCCCGCCUGGGGAGUACGGCCGCAAGGCUAAAAUUCAAAGGAAUUGACGGGGCCCCGCACAAGCGGCGGAGCAUGCGGAUUAAUUCGAUGCAACGCGUAGAACCUUACCUGGGUUUGACAUGGAUCGGGAGCGCUCAGAGAUGGGUGUGCCUCUUUUGGGGUCGGUUCACAGGUGGUGCAUGGCUGUCGUCAGCUCGUGUCGUGAGAUGUUGGGUUAAGUCCCGCAACGAGCGCAACCCUUGUUCACUGUUGCCAGCACGUUAUGGUGGGGACUCAGUGGAGACCGCCGGGGUCAACUCGGAGGAAGGUGGGGAUGACGUCAAGUCAUCAUGCCCCUUAUGUCCAGGGCUUCACGCAUGCUACAAUGGCUGGUACAGAGAGUGGCGAGCCUGUGAGGGUGAGCGAAUCUCGGAAAGCCGGUCUCAGUUCGGAUUGGGGUCUGCAACUCGACCUCAUGAAGUCGGAGUCGCUAGUAAUCGCAGAUCAGCAACGCUGCGGUGAAUACGUUCCCGGG